AUUGAACGCUAGCGGGAUGCCUUACACAUGCAAGUCGAACGGAGUGGCGAACGGGUGAGUAAUGUAUCGGAACGUGCCCAGUAGCGGGGGAUAACUACGCGAAAGCGUAGCUAAUACCGCAUACUAUUGGAGCGGCCGAUAUCGGAUUAGCUAGUUGGUGGGGUAAAGGCUCACCAAGGCGACGAUCCGUAGCUGGCUUGAGAGGACGACCAGCCACACGGGGACGGGGAGACGGCCCAGACGCCUACGUGAGGCAACAGUGGGGAAGUUUGGACAAAGGGGGAAACCCUGAUCCAGCCAUCCCGCGUGUGCGAUGAAGGCCUUCGGGUUGUAAAGCACUUUUGGCAGGAAAGCGGUACCUGCAGAAUAAGCACCGGCUAACUACGUGACAGCAGCCGCGUAAUUC
rnacentral:rRNA from 1 species